GACGAACGCUGGCGGCGUGCUUAACACAUGCAAGUCGAACGAAGAGCGAUGGAAGCUUGCUUCUAUCAAUCUUAGUGGCGAACGGGUGAGUAACGCGUAAUCAACCUGCCCUUCAGAGGGGGACAACAGUUGGAAACGACUGCUAAUACCGCAUACGAUCUAAUCUCGGCAUCGAGGAUAGAUGAAAGGUGGCCUCUACAUGUAAGCUAUCACUGGAGGAGGGGAUUGCGUCUGAUUAGCUAGUUGGAGGGGUAACGGCCCACCAAGGCGAUGAUCAGUAGCCGGUCUGAGAGGAUGAACGGCCACAUUGGGACUGAGACACGGCCCAGACUCCUACGGGAGGCAGCAGUGGGGAAUCUUCCGCAAUGGACGAAAGUCUGACGGAGCAACGCCGCGUGAGUGAUGACGGCCUUCGGGUUGUAAAGCUCUGUUAAUCGGGACGAAAGGCCUUCUUGCGAAUAGUGAGAAGGAUUGACGGUACCGGAAGAGAAAGCCACGGCUAACUACGUG
rnacentral:rRNA from 1 species